rnacentral:rRNA from 1 species
UGGGGAAUUUUGGACAAUGGGGGAAACCCUGAUCCAGCCAUCCCGCGUGUGCGAUGAAGGCCUUCGGGUUGUAAAGCACUUUUGGCAGGAAAGAAACGUCGCGGGUUAAUACCCCGCGAAACUGACGGUACCUGCAGAAUAAGCACCGGCUAACUACGUGCCAGCAGCCGCGGUAAUACGUAGGGUGCAAGCGUUAAUCGGAAUUACUGGGCGUAAAGCGUGCGCAGGCGGUUCGGAAAGAAAGAUGUGAAAUCCCAGAGCUUAACUUUGGAACUGCAUUUUUAACUACCGGGCUAGAGUGUGUCAGAGGGAGGUGGAAUUCCGCGUGUAGCAGUGAAAUGCGUAGAUAUGCGGAGGAACACCGAUGGCGAAGGCAGCCUCCUGGGAUAACACUGACGCUCAUGCACGAAAGCGUGGGGAGCAAACAGGAUUAGAUACCCUGGUAGUCCACGCCCUAAAACGAUGUCAACUAGCUGUUGGGGCCUUCGGGCCUUGGUAGCGCAGCUAACGCGUGAAGUUGACCGCCUGGGGAGUACGGUCGCAAGAUUAAAACUCAAAUGAAUUG